GGCAGUCAGAGGCGAUGAAGGACGUGCUAAUCUGCGAUAAGCGUCGGUAAGGUGAUAUGAACCGUUAUAACCGGCGAUUUCCGAAUGGGGAAACCCAGUGUGAUUCGUCACACUAUCAUUAACUGAAUCCAUAGGUUAAUGAGGCGAACCGGGGGAACUGAAACAUCUAAGUACCCCGAGGAAAAGAAAUCAACCGAGAUUCCCCCAGUAGCGGCGAGCGAACGGGGAGCAGCCCAGAGCCUGAAUCAGUGUGUGUGUUAGUGGAAGCGUCUGGAAAGGCGCGCGAUACAGGGUGACAGCCCCGUACACAAAAAUGCACAUGCUGUGAGCUCGAUGAGUAGGGCGGGACACGUGGUAUCCUGUCUGAAUAUGGGGGGACCAUCCUCCAAGGCUAAAUACUCCUGACUGACCGAUAGUGAACCAGUACCGUGAGGGAAAGGCGAAAAGAACCCCGGCGAGGGGAGUGAAAAAGAACCUGAAACCGUGUACGUACAAGCAGUGGGAGCCUCUUUAUGGGGUGACUGCGUACCUUUUGUAUAAUGGGUCAGCGACUUAUAUUCUGUAGCAAGGUUAACCGAAUAGGGGAGCCGAAGGGAAACCGAGUCUUAACUGGGCGUUAAGUUGCAGGGUAUAGACCCGAAACCCGGUGAUCUAGCCAUGGGCAGGUUGAAGGUUGGGUAACACUAACUGGAGGACCGAACCGACUAAUGUUGAAAAAUUAGCGGAUGACUUGUGGCUGGGGGUGAAAGGCCAAUCAAACCGGGAGAUAGCUGGUUCUCCCCGAAAGCUAUUUAGGUAGCGCCUCGUGAACUCAUCUCCGGGGGUAGAGCACUGUUUCGGCAAGGGGGUCAUCCCGACUUACCAACCCGAUGCAAACUGCGAAUACCGGAGAAUGUUAUCACGGGAGACACACGGCGGGUGCUAACGUCCGUCGUGAAGAGGGAAACAACCCAGACCGCCAGCUAAGGUCCCAAAGUCAUGGUUAAGUGGGAAACGAUGUGGGAAGGCCCAGACAGCCAGGAUGUUGGCUUAGAAGCAGCCAUCAUUUAAAGAAAGCGUAAUAGCUCACUGGUCGAGUCGGCCUGCGCGGAAGAUGUAACGGGGCUAAACCAUGCACCGAAGCUGCGGCAGCGACGCUGAUGCGUUGUUGGGUAGGGGAGCGUUCUGUAAGCCUGUGAAGGUGUGCUGUGAGGCAUGCUGGAGGUAUCAGAAGUGCGAAUGCUGACAUAAGUAACGAUAAAGCGGGUGAAAAGCCCGCUCGCCGGAAGACCAAGGGUUCCUGUCCAACGUUAAUCGGGGCAGGGUGAGUCGACCCCUAAGGCGAGGCCGAAAGGCGUAGUCGAUGGGAAACAGGUUAAUAUUCCUGUACUUGGUGUUACUGCGAAGGGGGGACGGAGAAGGCUAUGUUGGCCGGGCGACGGUUGUCCCGGUUUAAGCGUGUAGGCUGGUUUUCCAGGCAAAUCCGGAAAAUCAAGGCUGAGGCGUGAUGACGAGGCACUACGGUGCUGAAGCAACAAAUGCCCUGCUUCCAGGAAAAGCCUCUAAGCAUCAGGUAACAUCAAAUCGUACCCCAAACCGACACAGGUGGUCAGGUAGAGAAUACCAAGGCGCUUGAGAGAACUCGGGUGAAGGAACUAGGCAAAAUGGUGCCGUAACUUCGGGAGAAGGCACGCUGAUAUGUAGGUGAAGUCCCUCGCGGAUGGAGCUGAAAUCAGUCGAAGAUACCAGCUGGCUGCAACUGUUUAUUAAAAACACAGCACUGUGCAAACACGAAAGUGGACGUAUACGGUGUGACGCCUGCCCGGUGCCGGAAGGUUAAUUGAUGGGGUCAGCGCAAGCGAAGCUCUUGAUCGAAGCCCCGGUAAACGGCGGCCGUAACUAUAACGGUCCUAAGGUAGCGAAAUUCCUUGUCGGGUAAGUUCCGACCUGCACGAAUGGCGUAAUGAUGGCCAGGCUGUCUCCACCCGAGACUCAGUGAAAUUGAACUCGCUGUGAAGAUGCAGUGUACCCGCGGCAAGACGGAAAGACCCCGUGAACCUUUACUAUAGCUUGACACUGAACAUUGAGCCUUGAUGUGUAGGAUAGGUGGGAGGCUUAGAAGUGUGGACGCCAGUCUGCAUGGAGCCGACCUUGAAAUACCACCCUUUAAUGUUUGAUGUUCUAACGUUGACCCGUAAUCCGGGUUGCGGACAGUGUCUGGUGGGUAGUUUGACUGGGGCGGUCUCCUCCUAAAGAGUAACGGAGGAGCACGAAGGUUGGCUAAUCCUGGUCGGACAUCAGGAGGUUAGUGCAAUGGCAUAAGCCAGCUUGACUGCGAGCGUGACGGAGCGAGCAGGUGCGAAAGCAGGUCAUAGUGAUCCGGUGGUUCUGAAUGGAAGGGCCAUCGCUCAACGGAUAAAAGGUACUCCGGGGAUAACAGGCUGAUACCGCCCAAGAGUUCAUAUCGACGGCGGUGUUUGGCACCUCGAUGUCGGCUCAUCACAUCCUGGGGCUGAAGUAGGUCCCAAGGGUAUGGCUGUUCGCCAUUUAAAGUGGUACGCGAGCUGGGUUUAGAACGUCGUGAGACAGUUCGGUCCCUAUCUGCCGUGGGCGCUGGAGAACUGAGGGGGGCUGCUCCUAGUACGAGAGGACCGGAGUGGACGCAUCACUGGUGUUCGGGUUGUCAUGCCAAUGGCACUGCCCGGUAGCUAAAUGCGGAAGAGAUAAGUGCUGAAAGCAUCUAAGCACGAAACUUGCCCCGAGAUGAGUUCUCCCUGACUCCUUGAGAGUCCUGAAGGAACGUUGAAGACGACGACGUUGAUAGGCCGGGUGUGUAAGCGCAGCGAUGCGUUGAGCUAACCGGUACUAAUGAACCGUGAGGCUUAACCUU
rnacentral:rRNA from 1 species